UGGGGAAUAUUGCACAAUGGGCGCAAGCCUGAUGCAGCCAUGCCGCGUGUAUGAAGAAGGCCUUCGGGUUGUAAAGUACUUUCAGCGGGGAGGAAGGGAGUAAAGUUAAUACCUUUGCUCAUUGACGUUACCCGCAGAAGAAGCACCGGCUAACUCCGUGCCAGCAGCCGCGGUAAUACGGAGGGUGCAAGCGUUAAUCGGAAUUACUGGGCGUAAAGCGCACGCAGGCGGUUUGUUAAGUCAGAUGUGAAAUCCUCGGGCUCAACCUGGGAACUGCGACUGAUACUGGCAAGCUUGAGUCUCGGAGAGGGGGGUAGAAUUCCAGGUGUAGCGGUGAAAUACGUAAAGAUCUAGAGGAAUACCGGUGGCGAAGGCGGCGCCCAGGACGAAGACUGACGCUCAGGUGCGAAAGCGUGGUGAGCAAGCAGG
rnacentral:rRNA from 1 species